rnacentral:rRNA from 1 species
AGAGUUUGAUCCUGGCUCAGGAUGAACGCUAGCGGCAGGCUUAAUACAUGCAAGUCGAACGGUAACAGUUCCAGCAAUGGAAGCUGACGAGUGGCGAACGGGUGCGUAACACGUGUGCAACCUACCUAUAACAAGAGGAUAGCCCUGAGAAAUUGGGAUUAAUACUUUAUAUGAUUAUUUAAAGACAUCUUGAAAUAAUUAAAGCUUCGGCGGUUAUAGAUGGGCACGCGCAACAUUAGCUAGUUGGAGAGGUAACGGCUCACCAAGGCAACGAUGUUUAGGGGUUCUGAGAGGAUUAUCCCCCACACUGGUACUGAGACACGGACCAGACUCCUACGGGAGGCAGCAGUAAGGAAUAUUGGUCAAUGGACGCAAGUCUGAACCAGCCAUGCCGCGUGAAGGAUGACAGCCUUAUGGGUUGUAAACUUCUUUUAUACAGGAAAAAUAUCAGGGACUUGUCCUUGCUUGAUGGUACUGUAAGAAUAAGGAUCGGCUAACUCCGUGCCAGCAGCCGCGGUAAUACGGAGGAUCCAAGCGUUAUCCGGAUUUAUUGGGUUUAAAGGGUGCGUAGGCGGGUUUUUAAGUCAGUGGUGAAAUCUCUCGGCUCAACCGAGAAACUGCCAUUGAUACUAUUGACCUUGAGUACAAUUGAAGUGGGCGGAAUGUGUCAUGUAGCGGUGAAAUGCAUAGAGAUGACACAGAACACCGAUAGCGAAGGCAGCUCACUAAACUGUAACUGACGCUGAAGCACGAAAGCGUGGGGAUCAAACAGGAUUAGAUACCCUGGUAGUCCACGCUGUAAACGAUGAUUACUCGAUGUGUGCGAUACACUGUACGCGUCUAAGCGAAAGCGUUAAGUAAUCCACCUGGGGAGUACGAUCGCAAGAUUGAAACUCAAAGGAAUUGACGGGGGCCCGCACAAGCGGAGGAGCAUGUGGUUUAAUUCGAUGAUACGCGAGGAACCUUACCUAGGCUUAAAUGAUGAUUGACCGUUGCUGAAAGGCAAAAUCUCGUAAGAGCAAUCAUUAAGGUGCUGCAUGGCUGUCGUCAGCUCGUGCCGUGAGGUGUUUGGUUAAGUCCAGCAACGAGCGCAACCCCUAUUCUUAGUUACCAUCAGGUUAUGCUGGGGACUCUAAGAAAACUGCCCGCGCAAGCGGAGAGGAAGGUGGGGAUGACGUCAAGUCAGCACGGCCCUUACGUCUAGGGCUACACACGUGCUACAAUGGCCGGUACAAAGGGCAGCUACAUGGUGACAUGAUGCUAAUCUCAAAAACCGGUCUCAGUUCGGAUCGAAGUCUGCAACUCGACUUCGUGAAGUUGGAUUCGCUAGUAAUCGUAUAUCAGCAAUGAUACGGUGAAUACGUUCCCGGGCCUUGUACACACCGCCCGUCAAGCCAUGGAAGUUGGGGGGACCUGAAGUCGAUGACCGAAAGGAGUCGCCUAGGGUAAAACCAAUAACUAGGGCUAAGUCGAAACAAGGUA